UAUCUGUAUAGUGAUGUACAGAU
rnacentral:snRNA from 1 species